GAUGAAGAACGUAGCGAAAUGCGAUAAGUAAUGUGAAUUGCAGAAUUCAGUGAAUCAUCGAGUCUUUGAACGCACAUUGCGCCCCCUGGUAUUCCGGGGGGCAUGCCUGUCCGAGCGUCAUUGCUGCCCUCAAGCCCGGCUUGUGUGUUGGGUCUCGUCCCCCUUCCCGGGGGGACGGGCCCGAAAGGCAGCGGCGGCACCGUGUCCGGUCCUCGAGCGUAUGGGGCUUUGUCACCCGCUCUGUAGGCCCGGCCGGCGCUUGCCGAUCAACCAAAACUUUUUUCCAGGUUGACCUCGGAUCAGGUAGGGAUACCCGCUGAACUUAAGCAUAUCAAUAAGCGGAGGA
rnacentral:misc_RNA from 1 species